rnacentral:rRNA from 1 species
UACAGAGGUCUCAAGCGUUGUUCGGAUUCAUUGGGCGUAAAGGGUGUGUAGGCGGUGCGGUAAGUCUGGUGUGAAAUUUCGGAGCUUAACUCCGAAACUGCAUUCGAUACUGCGGUGCUUGAGGACUGGAGAGGAGACUGGAAUUCAUGGUGUAGCAGUGAAAUGCGUAGAGAUCAUGAGGAAGACCAGUGGCGAAGGCGGGUCUCUGGACAGUUCCUGACACUGAGACACGAAGGCCAGGGGAGCAAACGGG